AUAACUAAUAAAAUUCAACUAAUUUUUUAGGAUAAUAAUUUCAUCCAUACCCGAUGAAUAUAAACCACAACAUGGAGUCAAAGUCUUAUCUAUGAAAUCCAGCACCAUGCAAGUUACAGUAGAUGACAAAGUUUGUGUAAAGAAUUGUUGAAGGGAUUGAAUUUCCAGGAACCAACAGUGGCUGUAUCCCAGCUGCAACAUUUAUACUAUCGUCUAUCAUGCCGAUGCAAGAUCCUACGGAUGUUCCCAUUGUCAUGGCCUCUGCGAGUUUUGCUCUGGCUCCUUCAUGGCGACGCAGAACUAGGAUGGUGCUCAGUACAGAACAUCCGAUUUGAGAAUCUGCUUUUUUGAGUGAAGCCUAACCCCUUGAGCAACAAAUCCAACUGUUCAAUGAGCAAAAGCGAAGGCUCGACAGCUAGAUCAAGACUUGUAAAGGCUACGGCACAGAAGCAAUCAGCUGGCUUCUGUAUUGAUGCAACUGAGAAAGCCAUAGAUGAAAAGGAAAUUUAGGUAAGAUGCCUCGACUCUAUUAACCAUGCAUUUGCAUUUUACCAAAAUGUUUCUUCCACCUUCUAGGAUGCUAUUCUCUUACCAAGAGAAGGGCAUUGCAUAAUUAGCUUUGAUCUUGCUUGAUUAUAAUGACAGACAAUGUAAUGUAUCUGGUAUCAUUGUAAAGUAUAAUCUUCUAGUUCUCACUGACUAGUGGGGUGGACGAAUUGAACCCUGGCCUAGCAUCAAAAGGAACGGCCUAGCCUGGUAUCGUUGUAAUUUGGGGUGAUCAUUCUGUUAAGGAAUUCAGCAGGAUACUGAAAUGUGGUAUAAUACUUGAAAAUCAUGGACGAUUUUCGACUUAGCAAGGUCUUCGAAUCCCCGAUUCUGUGCAAACAAGGCUCGCACUGAACAGCUCUCUCAGGCAUGGUUCAUUGAGGUGCAGACUUUGGAUUGCUAAGAAUUGAUUAUUGUAUGGCAGCAAUAUGCAAUCCAUUGAUUUGCUUAUUCAAAGAAAAUCUGAGACAGUAAGAAACAAA